UACGAGGGGGGCGAGCGUUGUUCGGAAUUACUGGGUGUAAAGGGUUCGUAGGCGGUGUGGCAAGUCGGGAGUGAAAUUUCUGGGCUUAACCCAGAAGCUGCUUCCGAAACUGCUGUGCUAGAGUGCGGGAGAGGCGCGUGGAAUUGCAGGUGUAGCGGUGAAAUGCGUAGAUAUCUGCAGGAACACCCGUGGCGAAAGCGGCGCGCUGGACCGUUACUGACGCUGAGGAACGAAAGCUAGGGGAGCAAACAGG
rnacentral:rRNA from 1 species